rnacentral:lncRNA from 1 species
UUCCAGUUCUGGUUUGCAUUGCAGUAAGACUCUAGCAGUUCUUGUCAGGCGUAUUACUUCUUUUGCUGCUGGUAACCCCAGUUUGGGUGGAUUGUAAUAAUGUUGCUGGUAUCCCCAGCCAACUAUAUAUGUAUCCCAUUGCGUAAAAAAAACUAUAUAUGCAUCCGCAGUUUCGUGUUGCUUUAUAUUUUGUUGUUGAGAUCAUCACAUCAUGAUAUCAUCACAGGCUUUGAGAAGGAGAUCCUGCAAGUUGCGAAAGGAGGAGG